rnacentral:rRNA from 1 species
CCAGACUCCUACGGGAGGCAGCAGUGAGGAAUAUUGGUCAAUGGGCGCGAGCCUGAACCAGCCAAGUCGCGUGAGGGAUGACGGUCCUACGGAUUGUAAACCUCUUUUGCCGGGGAGCAAGCGUGCGUUCGUGAACGCGCGUCGAGAGUACCCGGAGAAAAAGCAUCGGCUAACUCCGUGCCAGCAGCCGCGGUAAUACGGAGGAUGCGAGCGUUAUCCGGAUUUAUUGGGUUUAAAGGGUGCGUAGGCGGGAUGCCAAGUCAGCGGUAAAAAUGCGGUGCUCAACGCCGUCGAGCCGUUGAAACUGGCGUUCUUGAGUGGGCGAGAAGUAUGCGGAAUGCGUGGUGUAGCGGUGAAAUGCAUAGAUAUCACGCAGAACUCCGAUUGCGAAGGCAGCAUACCGGCGCCCUACUGACGCUGAGGCACGAAAGCGUGGGUAUCGAACAGGAUUAGAUACCCCAGUA